rnacentral:rRNA from 1 species
GGCUUAGGAUGAACGCUAGCGACAGGCCUAACACAUGCAAGUCGAGGGGCAGCACAAGGAGCAAUCUGAGGUGGCGACCGGCGCACGGGUGAGUAACACGUAUGCAACCUGCCUGUAAGCGGGGAAUAACCCGUUGAAAGACGGACUAAUACCGCAUAAUACUAAAUUACUGCAUGGUAAUUUAUUUAAACAUUUAUGGCUUACAGAUGGGCAUGCGCAUGAUUAGCUAGUUGGAGAGGUAACGGCUCCCCAAGGCAACGAUCAUUAGGGGUUCUGAGAGGAAGGUCCCCCACACUGGUACUGAGACACGGACCAGACUCCUACGGGAGGCAGCAGUGAGGAAUAUUGGUCAAUGGACGAGAGUCUGAACCAGCCAAGUCGCGUGCAGGAAGAAUGUCCCUAUGGAUUGUAAACUGCUUUUGCAGGGGAAUAAAGUGCAUCACGUGUGAUGUUUUGUAUGUACUCUGCGAAUAAGGAUCGGCUAACUCCGUGCCAGCCGCCGC